rnacentral:rRNA from 1 species
GAACGCUGGCGGCAUGCUUUACACAUGCAAGUCGAACGGUAACGCGGGGGGUAACCCCUGGCGACGAGUGGCGAACGGGUGAGUAAUACAUCGGAACAUGUCCUGGAGUGGGGGAUAGCUCGGCGAAAGCCGGAUUAAUACCGCAUACGCUCCGAGGAGGAAAGCGGGGGAUCCGCAAGGACCUCGCGCUGCGGGAGUGGCCGAUGUCGGAUUAGCUAGUUGGUGAGGUAAAGGCUCACCAAGGCGACGAUCCGUAGCUGGUCUGAGAGGAUGAUCAGCCACACUGGGACUGAGACACGGCCCAGACUCCUACGGGAGGCAGCAGUGGGGAAUUUUGGACAAUGGGGGCAACCCUGAUCCAGCCAUGCCGCGUGAGUGAAGAAGGCCUUCGGGUUGUAAAGCUCUUUCGGACGGGACGAAAUGGUUAGCGUGAAUAACGCUGACUGAUGACGGUACCGUAAUAAGAAGCACCGGCUAACUACGUGCCAGCAGCCGCGGUAAUACGUAGGGUGCGAGCGUUAAUCGGAAUUACUGGGCGUAAAGCGUGCGCAGGCGGUUCGCCAAGUCAGGUGUGAAAUCCCCGGGCUUAACCUGGGAAUUGCGCUUGAAACUAGCGGGCUUGAGUGUGGCAGAGGGGGGUGGAAUUCCACGUGUAGCAGUGAAAUGCGUAGAGAUGUGGAGGAACACCGAUGGCGAAGGCAGCCCCCUGGGUCAACACUGACGCUCAUGCACGAAAGCGUGGGGA